UAACAUCUAACCAUAAACUAAUCAAAUUAGGGUUUUAAGAAGUAUUACCUUUGAAGCUUUCAAAAGGUUUGAUGUCUUCUUACCAAUUCUACCCGAGACCACCACUAGUACUCAACUGCUAUCCUCUAGACAAAGAACCGGGUUGUGGGACCCAAUUUUGGUGUAGAAAGUAAUGGAGAUAAAAUGAGAUUGGAAGCUUUCUUUUUUCUUUUGUUGAGAUUAUGAAAAUGAUAAAAGAGGCAAAAGUCCUUCAACAUUUGAAAACAUCUCUAUUUAUAGCCUAAUUACAUGCAAAAAUGCAUGCAAUUCAAUUGCCAAAUCUCAACACCUAAUAUUCCACUAACAAUUAGUGGAACUUAGUGGGCUAGGUGUCUAUAUCUCAUAUAGCCACAUAUCCCACUAAGAGUUAGUGGGAUUAUCCAACAAAAUGUUGGAUUUUCCCACUAACUUAGUCCAAGGGUAAAAUGGUCAUUAGAUUUUUCUAGUCAAAAGUCAAACUUUGACUUUUCUAAGUCAAAAGUCAAUAUUUUGACUUUUUACCAUUUUGUCCGUCUUGACUAAUUCCAACCUCCCGAGCAUGAAUCCGCAUUCAUUUUUCCAAAAUUCAAAUCACAUUUGAAUAUAAGGCCGGUCAAAGUUUGACUUUUCAAAGUCAAAAGUCAACAUUUUGACUUUUUACUAUUUUUGACCAAUUCCGAGCUUCUUAGUAUGAAUCCGCAUUCAUACUUAUAGUAUGUAAAACAUAAAGCUCUAUUUCUAAUUAGAAGACCGACGAUUAUAUCACUGUAUAUGUCGGUUUUCCUUUCUUCUCCCUAUUCGAACAAUUCGACUUAUUUCAUCACACUGUUCUAAGUUUAAUCCAUAUGAGCUAGCAGAGGAACCUAAUGGACCUAUAGAUCAUGGGCUCCAACGAUUCAAGAUUAACUAGCUAAACUCUUUUAAACCGAGUUAAUCAACAUUCGUUAACUAACGGGUCAUUCCACUAAAGUCCCGUAGUUGCACUCCCCUCACUAUAGAUAUAUUUGUGUCCAUUUGAUAAAACCAUAAUCAGUAAGUUAAUCCUUCACAGGUUGCUCGUAACCUUGGCUGGGUCAAAAUACCGUUUUACCCCCAAGAUUACAUCUUGCUCCUUAAGUCCCACUAAUCCACUAUUGAACAAUUGGUUUAAGGUUCAACCUAUAAACUUAAUCCCUCUCGGGCCAAUGAGAGGGUGGGGCCCCUUGUUCAAGACUUGGAUUCAGUGCUUAAGAGAGCAACCUAUCUACUAACCCUAAAGCGGGUAGGAGUGAAUUCCAUCUUGUACCCUAUGUUCCCAGCUAUCCACCCGAUCUUACCCCUGAAAUGGGAGGCUUAUUGGGCCAACGCUGAUGAGCUGCCCUCACCUAUGCAGAUCUAAGGAUAAUCUCGUAUGAACAGGAGUUCAUAGUUAACUCAGGAUUAAGACUAAGUUACCUAGGUCAUCAAUAAUUGAGAUAGUCAGUUUUAAACAGUAAACGGUGUUAUAACGUAAAAAUGACUAAUUCAUGGUUCAGUCUUAUGUAAACAUUUUACAUAGGAUGCCCCCACUUUCAUGUCUCUACAUGAACGAUUAGGAUCACAUCGUUUGUACUACAAAGUGGGCCGCAUCCAUAGUCUCUCAAAAUAAGGCGCCCAACCUUUAUUUCAUAUACUAUAGACUAUUUAGGCUAUAUACUCGAACUUGAUCCACGUUUAUGUUUACACAUAAAGUUCAAGUUUAUUCAAAAAAUAGCCUUGGAACUUUGAUUUAUUGGAUUUAAGAUUAUAAUAUUUAAUUUCUCAAUAACAACUUUAUUGAAUAGAAUAUGAUUUACAAACUACGAGUUUUAGGACAAAAAAUUCCAACAAACUCCCACUUGGACUAAAAUUCCUAGUGGUAUGAGAGAUGUGGUGUGAGAGAAUAUAUAUGAAACUAGGGCACAUGGCCAAUAAGUCUCCCACUUGUCCUAGUUUACAAACAUCGUACACCUAAACUGUGUAGGUGACCCUCAAACACUUUAGCCAUGAGGGCUUUUGUAAAAUGAUCAGCUUCCAUUGUGGAAUCAGCUAUACAAGUUUGCUUUAUGCUUCUCCAAACUACUGCUCCUCCAUUUAGAGUAAAUACUGAUUCUGAUGUAGACUUUCUAACAUCUUUAUUAGUUUGGAAAUCGAAUCAGUGUAUCCAGUAAGGAUCAUAUCCUUUGUACGAUACAUGAGCAUGUAGAAUGUUUUUAACGGCUGUCCAGUGAUCACGUCCAUGAUUGGAUUGAUACCUACUGACCAUCCCUACUGAGUAGCAAAUGUCAGGUCUAGUACAUAACAUUGCAUACAUUAAACUUCCAACAGCGGAAGCAUAGGGAAUAUUUCUCAUAUCCUCAACUUCUUGAGGUGUCUUAGGACAUUGUUCCUUUGACAAAUGAAUUCCAUAUCUGUACGGCAGCAGACCCUUUUUGGAAUUCUGCAUUUUAUAUCUAGACAACAUUUUGUCUAUGUAAGAUGCUUGAGACAUGGCUAGUGUUUUGUUCUUACGGUUUCGAACAAUUUGGAUUCCGAGAACGUAUUGUGCAUCUCCCAGAUCUUUCAUUUGAAAUUGCAUAGCUAGCCAUUUCUUGAUAUCAGUAAGAUAUCCUACGUCAUUUCCAAUAAGUAGAAUAUCAUCUACAUAUAAGACUAAAAAAUGCUAUAAUGGAAUUGACGACCUUUUGUAAACACAAGGCUCGUCAACAUUUUGUUCAAAGCCAUAAGAUUUUGAUCGCAAUAUCAAAUCUUAUAUUCCAGGAUCUAGAAGCUUGUUUUAAUCCAUAAAUGGAUUUUUUAAGCUUACAAACCUUUUGUUCUUGAUCUUGUUUUAUAAACCCCUCUGGUUGAGACAUAUAGAUACUCUCUUCAAGAUUACCGUUCAAAAAAGCUGUCUUGACAUCCAUCUGCCAAAUUUCAUAAUCAUAAAAAGUGGCGAUGGAUAAGAGUAUUCUAAUUGACUUUAACAUGGCAACGGGAGAGAAAGUUUCCUCAUAGUCUACUCCCUCUCUCUAGGUAUAACCCUUUGCCACAAGUCGAGCCUUAAAAGUCUGUACUUUACCGGCAUGGUCUCGUUUUCUCUUGUAGAUCCAUUUACAACCAAUAGGUUUUACGUCAUUUGGUUGAUCUACUAGAGUCUAGAAAGAAUUAAAGUACAUAGACUCCAUUUCGAGGUCCAUGGCUUUGAUCCAUUGGUCACGAUCUACAUCUUUCAUUGCCUGUUUAUAGGUUAAUGGAUCCUCUAUGCCAUCGUCAGGUAUGACGACUUGAGUUUCAAUUAAACCCAAAUAGCGAUCAGGCUGAUGAACAACCCUCCCACUACGUCGAGGCUCUCUCAACUGUUGAGAAGGAUGUGAUUGACCAGAUUUCCUAGUCUUAUCAACUACUUUAGUGGAUGAACUAGGUUUUAUCUAUAGCACUUUUGGAAAUUUCUUUAAAUACUAGUUUACUACGAGGUGAUGAUGAUGUGGUCUUCCUCUAAGAAUGUGGCAUUUGUUGACACAAAUAUUUUAUUUUCUUGAGGAUCAUAAAACAAACCACCUCUUGAUUCUUUUGGAUAACCUAUAAAAAAGCAUAAUUUUGAACGAUGUUCCAAUUUCUUUGGAUUUUGUACCAACACAUGUGCUGGACAACCCCAAAUUUUAAAAUGACGUAAACUGCCUUUACGCCCUUUCCAUAGCUCAUAAGGUGUUUCUGAAACACUUUUAGAGGGAACAUUAUUCAAAAUAUAAGCAGCUGUUUCUAAAGCAUAUCCCAAAAAGAAUCUGACAUCUGAGAAAAACUCAUCAUAGAGCGAACCAUGUCUAACAAGGUCCAGUUUCUUCUUUCUGAUACACCGUUCUGUUGAGGUGUACUAGGUGCAGAGAGUUGUGACUGGAUUCCAUUUUCUAUUAAAUAGUCUCGGAAUCGUAAGUCCAUAUACUCUCCACCUCGAUCUGAUCGAAGUAUUUUUAUUGUUUUACCUAAUUCGUUUUCUACUUCAGCCUUAUAUUCUUUGAACUUUUCAAGACUAUUAGACUUAUGAUGUAUUAGGUAAAUAUGACCAUACCUUGAAUAAUCAUCAAUGAAGCUAAUGAAAUAUUCAUAUCCACCUCGAGUUUUGACAUUCAUUGGUCCACAAAGGUCCGAAUGUACGAGCUCUAAGGGUCCUUUGGCUCUUAGACCUUUUCCAGUAAAAGAUCUCUUGGUCAUUUUUCCUUCAAGACAAGAUUCACAAGGAGGUAAAGAGUUAUCUUCUAACGGACUUAGAAGCCCACUUUUAACCAAUCUCCCAAUCCUAUUGAGAUUUAUGUGACCAAGUCUUAAGUGCCAUAAAUAGGCAUUAGAAGAAACUUUUUGUCUUUUAUUCUGAGUUUUCAGCUGUUCUGAAUAUUUCAGUAUUUAAGACAAAAUUUGCUCUAGUUGGUCUUAACUUAUAUAAGUUGUCUUCAAGUAUAGCAGAACAAACUAGAAUACCUUUAUAGAAAACGAACGCUUCAUUAAUUUCAAAAGAUAUUCUAUACAUUUGUUCCAAAAUACAAGAGAUAGAUAUUAAAUUUCUUUUCAUUUGAGGUACAUAUAAGACAUUCUUAAGUAUGACAUAUCUAUCUCUAAAAAACAACUUUAAAUCUCCCACUGCUGAAGCUGAGACCAUCUCUCCUGUUCCAACCUUGAGAGUGAUCUCACCUUCUGAAAGCUUUUUCAAGAACUAUUUUCCUGAAAUGAGAAGCAAAUAUGGUUAGUGGCUCCUGAAUCUAGUAUCCAGGUAGAAUUUUCAUAUUCCACUAAACAUGUUUCUACAACUAGUAAAUCAUAUUUACCUUGUGUUUCCUUCUCUGCCUUUUUUUCUGCAAGGUAUUUUGGGCAGUUUCUUAACCAGUGCCCGUUUUGGCCACAAUGGUAACACUUACCUUUUUCUGCACCUUUCUUACCCUUGUUCUGUUUGGGAGUCUUUCCCUUUCCCUUCUUUUUUAUUUGAGCAUUAGGUUUUGAGGGUCCAGCUUUGGUUUUAGAGGACGAUCCUCUUAUAAAUUUUCUUUUUGUGGUAGCAACAUUUGCUUCCACUUGUUUUCCUUUACCCAUAGUUAGGUUUUGGAAUCGCUGGAGUUCAUUCAGAAGGGUUGUCAAGUUAAAUUCUAUCUUGUUCAAAGACGCAUUCGUUUGGAAUGGAAUGAAGCUCUUCGGAAGAGACUCUAAGAUAAAACUAACUUGAUUAACCUCUUCGAUGGGACCACCAUUCACUUCAGCGAUGUUGAAGUGCAUCAUCAUGUCCAGAACAUGUUCUCUAACAGAGGUCCCUUCCUUCAUACGCUUAGUGUAAAUGUAUUUGACUGCCUCGUGUCUUAAGGACCAUUCUGGUUGCCCAAACAUUCCCCUUAAUGAAUCCAUAAUCUCUUUAGCCGUGGCUAAGGAUUCAUGUUUCUUUGCCAAUACAUCAGACAUGCUGGCAAGAAUGUAAACACGGGCUUUUUCAUUAGCUUUUAUCCAUCGAUCAUAUGCAUCCCGACUAGUUCGGUUAGCAUUAGAGGCAGGGUUUUGAGGACAUUCCUCAGUUAAGACAAAUCUUAAAUCGUCAACCACUAGUAUUGUGUUAAGAUUUGAUUUCCAAGCCGCAUAAUUAUCGCCAUUAAGUUUUUCGGAAGCUAAAAGUUGAACUAUUGAGCUAUUCAUGCUGAAAAACAAACAUAUUCUUUUUAGGAAAAAACUAUAAUCAUAAAAAAUAUCCAAUCUAAUUUAGCAAUUACUAAUAAUGUACCCUUUCAUUAUUUGUAUUUUGCAACAAUAUUUCAAAGGUUUAGAACAACCUUCUCCGAAGGGUAGUUGAUUAUUCCUCCUUUGAACCAAGACAAUCUUGACUAGAUGCUAUCUCAAGAAUAACUCUUUAUUCUUUAUAGCACUUAGUUAUCGCUACUUUAGUCAAGAAUAUACUAACAACUUAGUAAUUCUUGUAAGUGUUACCCACCAUUUUCAGAUUUUAUAGAUUAGAAUCAUUUAUGAAAACUAAUCUAAGAAAUCCUAUCCAGUUUUGGAGUUCGCGGUGUUCCGAAUCCUAUAAUACAACCCUCCGAAGGGAACGUCGCUCCAGGGCAGACAAGCAGGCAUAUUAUAGAAAUCUCACGGUGCGACCUAAUGGAAGAGACCGUGGGAUGUGCUGCCACAAAUCCCUCACCCACUUACUAUGAACUACUUCCCCUAUUCACCUUGAUUUUGAUCCAUGCAAACACUCUCCGAAGGGAGGCCGCUCCUAUGCACGGCACAAAGCCCUGCAUGGACCUCACGGUGUGAACUCUUAGGGACACUAGAGCUAAAAUACAUUAUUUUUCUCUAGUUGAAGUGUUCUAAAAGAAAAAAAUAGGGUAAUCCAAACUUCAAGAUUUAUAUUUAGGCUAACUUAAACAAAUCUUAAGUCUAGAUAAAACAUCCAAGUAUAACCAUUAUACAGGAUUUUAACCUAUGAUGUCUAGGUGAAAAACCAUUUUUAUUACCUCACACCUCUCACGAAUGCUCAUAAAACUAGGUUAACUAGGCUCAAGAACUGAUUACGAUCUCCAGGUAGGAGGUGUUCCGUAAACCGUCAACUUAAGAACCUCCAACCUUAGUCAUCUUAUCUGACUUGUUGACAAGAUUGAACCAGGUGAGCCUUUUGUAACCAGUUUUACAAGAUAUCGACCUAUUUCUAUGAAAAAUGGAAGAUAUGUUUAACCUAAGUGAGCAUGCAUUUAAUCUUUGUUAUUGAUUUUAAAAGUCUAAUUUAUUUUAUAACACUUAUAAAAACUUUUAAACUUAAUCAAUCAUUUUAUCAAUAUAUAAUAAAAACAAUCAAUUAAUAUGGAUUUUAAUUUAUUUAACUUUAAUUAAAUCAUAUUUAAUUAAAUUAAAUCAAACAAUAAUUAAUUAAUUUGAUUAAAUCAUAUUUAAUCAAGAAUAACUUAAUUAAUUAAAUAAUUAAUUAAUCAUAUUAAUUAAUUUCCAUAUUAAUCAAUUAACAUGCAUACAAUACAAUAUAACCUUUAUAUCAUACAUUUUAAUGCAUGAACAUGUUAACCUAUGGUGGGAUUUUAAAUCUAUAUGACAUUCAAAAUGCACAUACAAAUUUAAAGUAAUUUAAUCAUACAUCACAUGCAUAAAUAAAAAAAACACCCUAAAAUGGACUGAUUUUUGGCUCCUAAAUUAAGCUAAGUGCUAAAUUAUUACAUAAUUAAUUUGGUGUAGUACAGAACCACUCCCAAAAAUUUCGAACCGGCUAAAAAACCAACCGAACCGCUUGAACCGGCCCAAAAACCAAAUUUAUUGGCUUGAACCGGCCCAGGCGCACACGGGUCGUGCGAAGGCAGGCGCGCGGGCGAAGGCGGGCGCGCGGGCGCAUGCGGGCGCGCGGACACAUGCGCGCGCGGCGCGCAUGCAGGGCGCGCGGCGCAGGAGGCGCGCGGGCGCAGGAGGCGCGGGCGCAGGAGGCGCGCGGCGCAGGAGGCGCGCGGGCGCAGGAGGGCGCGCGGCGCGCGUGCGACGCAGGAGGGCGCGCGGGCGCAGGAGGGCGCGCGGGCAUGCGGGCGCGUGCGGGUCGCGAAGCGGGUCAAAACCGGGUUUUCGGGUCUGUGACCUUCUUUUCUUCAUUUUUUUCAAUUCUCUCACCCGGUUGAACAAUUACAGCCUAGCUUCAACUCUAAUGACUUUUUUUAUUUUUUUAAAAAUUACAAACACUUUGCAACAAUAAAAAUAAGCCAUUAACAAGGCUAAUUACAAUAAUUAGAACAAAAACACUUAAUCUAGAGCCAAAAUCAUAAUAUAUCCAUUUUAGUUCAAACCAAAAUUUAUCUAAUAAAUAUGAACCCACCACAUGCAAUUGGGUAAAAAUGAAGCAUGCUCUGAUACCACAUGAUAGAACUAAGUCAUGCACAGCGGAAAAAGAAUCGAAUUUCUACCCUAAUUGCCACAAUUAACAUGUAACCAUAAACUAAUCAAAUUAGGGUUUUAAGAAGUAUUACCUUUGAAGCUUUCAAAAGGUUUGAUGUCUUCUUACCAAUUCUACCCGAGACCACCACUAGUACUCAACUGCUAUCCUCUAGACAAAGAACCGGGUUGUGGGACCCAAUUUUGGUGUAGAAAGUAAUGGAGAUAAAAUGAGAUUGGAAGCUUUCUUUUUUCUUUUGUUGAGAUUAUGAAAAUGAUAAAAGAGGCAAAAGUCCUUCAACAUUUGAAAACAUCUCUAUUUAUAGCCUAAUUACAUGCAAAAAUGCAUGCAAUUCAAUUGCCAAAUCUCAACACCUAAUAUUCCACUAACAAUUAGUGGAACUUAGUGGGCUAGGUGUCUAUAUCUCAUAUAGCCACAUAUCCCACUAAGAGUUAGUGGGAUUAUCCAACAAAAUGUUGGAUUUUCCCACUAACUUAGUCCAAGGGUAAAAUGGUCAUUAGAUUUUUCUAGUCAAAAGUCAAACUUUGACUUUUCUAAGUCAAAAGUCAAUAUUUUGACUUUUUACCAUUUUGUCCGUCUUGACUAAUUCCAACCUCCCGAGCAUGAAUCCGCAUUCAUUUUUCCAAAAUUCAAAUCACAUUUGAAUAUAAGGCCGGUCAAAGUUUGACUUUUCAAAGUCAAAAGUCAACAUUUUGACUUUUUACUAUUUUUGACCAAUUCCGAGCUUCUUAGUAUGAAUCCGCAUUCAUACUUAUAGUAUGUAAAACAUAAAGCUCUAUUUCUAAUUAGAAGACCGACGAUUAUAUCACUGUAUAUGUCGGUUUUCCUCUUCUCCCUAUUCGAACAAUUCGACUUAUUUCAUCACACUGUUCUAAGUUUAAUCCAUAUGAGCUAGCAGAGGAACCUAAUGGACCUAUAGAUCAUGGGCUCCAACGAUUCAAGAUUAACUAGCUAAACUCUUUUAAACCGAGUUAAUCAACAUUCGUUAACUAACGGGUCAUUCCACUAAAGUCCCGUAGUUGCACUCCCCUCACUAUAGAUAUAUUUGUGUCCAUUUGAUAAAACCAUAAUCAGUAAGUUAAUCCUUCACAGGUUGCUCGUAACCUUGGCUGGGUCAAAAUACCGUUUUACCCCCAAGAUUACAUCUUGCUCCUUAAGUCCCACUAAUCCACUAUUGAACAAUUGGUUUAAGGUUCAACCUAUAAACUUAAUCCCUCUCGGGCCAAUGAGAGGGUGGGGCCCCUUGUUCAAGACUUGGAUUCAGUGCUUAAGAGAGCAACCUAUCUACUAACCCUAAAGCGGGUAGGAGUGAAUUCCAUCUUGUACCCUAUGUUCCCAGCUAUCCACCCGAUCUUACCCCUGAAAUGGGAGGCUUAUUGGGCCAACGCUGAUGAGCUGCCCUCACCUAUGCAGAUCUAAGGAUAAUCUCGUAUGAACAGGAGUUCAUAGUUAACUCAGGAUUAAGACUAAGUUACCUAGGUCAUCAAUAAUUGAGAUAGUCAGUUUUAAACAGUAAACGGUGUUAUAACGUAAAAAUGACUAAUUCAUGGUUCAGUCUUAUGUAAACAUUUUACAUAGGAUGCCCCCACUUUCAUGUCUCUACAUGAACGAUUAGGAUCACAUCGUUUGUACUACAAAGUGGGCCGCAUCCAUAGUCUCUCAAAAUAAGGCGCCCAACCUUUAUUUCAUAUACUAUAGACUAUUUAGGCUAUAUACUCGAACUUGAUCCACGUUUAUGUUUACACAUAAAGUUCAAGUUUAUUCAAAAAAUAGCCUUGGAACUUUGAUUUAUUGGAUUUAAGAUUAUAAUAUUUAAUUUCUCAAUAACAACUUUAUUGAAUAGAAUAUGAUUUACAAACUACGAGUUUUAGGACAAAAAAUUCCAACAAACUCCCACUUGGACUAAAAUUCCUAGUGGUAUGAGAGAUGUGGUGUGAGAGAAUAUAUAUGAAACUAGGGCACAUGGCCAAUAAGUCUCCCACUUGUCCUAGUUUACAAACAUCGUACACCUAAACUGUGUAGGUGACCCUCAAACACUUUAGCCAUGAGGGCUUUUGUAAAAUGAUCAGCUUCCAUUGUGGAAUCAGCUAUACAAGUUUGCUUUAUGCUUCUCCAAACUACUGCUCCUCCAUUUAGAGUAAAUACUGAUUCUGAUGUAGACUUUCUAACAUCUUUAUUAGUUUGGAAAUCUGAAUCAGUGUAUCCAGUAAGGAUCAUAUCCUUUGUACGAUACAUGAGCAUGUAGAAUGUUUUUAACGGCUGUCCAGUGAUCACGUCCAUGAUUGGAUUGAUACCUACUGACCAUCCCUACUGAGUAGCAAAUGUCAGGUCUAGUACAUAACAUAUGCAUACAUUAAACUUCCAACAGCGGAAGCAUAGGGAAUAUUUCUCAUAUCCUCAACUUCUUGAGGUGUCUUAGGACAUUGUUCCUUUGACAAAUGAAUUCCAUAUCUGUACGGCAGCAGACCCUUUUUGGAAUUCUGCAUUUUAUAUCUAGACAACAUUUUGUCUAUGUAAGAUGCUUGAGACAUGGCUAGUGUUUUGUUCUUACGGUUUCGAACAAUUUGGAUUCCGAGAACGUAUUGUGCAUCUCCCAGAUCUUUCAUUUGAAAUUGCAUAGCUAGCCAUUUCUUGAUAUCAGGAAGAUAUCCUAGUCAUUUCCAAUAAGUAGAAUAUCAUCUACAUAUAAGACUAAAAAAUGCUAUAAUGGAAUUGACGACCUUUUGUAAACACAAGGCUCGUCAACAUUUUGUUCAAAGCCAUAAGAUUUUGAUCGCAAUAUCAAAUCUUAUAUUCCAGGAUCUAGAAGCUUGUUUUAAUCCAUAAAUGGAUUUUUUAAGCUUACAAACCUUUUGUUCUUGAUCUUGUUUUAUAAACCCCUCUGGUUGAGACAUAUAGAUACUCUUCAAGAUUACCGUUCAAAAAAGCUGUCUUGACAUCCAUCUGCCAAAUUUCAUAAUCAUAAAAAGUGGCGAUGGAUAAGAGUAUUCUAAUUGACUUUAACAUGGCAACGGGAGAGAAAGUUUCCUCUAGUCUACUCCCUCUCUCUAGGUAUAACCCUUUGCCACAAGUCGAGCCUUAAAAGUCUGUACUUUACCGGCAUGGUCUCGUUUUCUCUUGUAGAUCCAUUUACAACCAAUAGGUUUUACGUCAUUUGGUUGAUCUACUAGAGUCUAGAAAGAAUUAAAGUACAUAGACUCCAUUUCGAGGUCCAUGGCUUUGAUCCAUUGGUCACGAUCUACAUCUUUCAUUGCCUGUUUAUAGGUUAAUGGAUCCUCUAUGCCAUCGUCAGGUAUGACGACUUGAGUUUCAAUUAAACCCAAAUAGCGAUCAGGCUGAUGAACAACCCUCCCACUACGUCGAGGCUCUCUCAACUGUUGAGAAGGAUGUGAUUGACCAGAUUUCCUAGUCUUAUCAACUACUUUAGUGGAUGAACUAGGUUUUAUCUAUAGCACUUUUGGAAAUUUCUUUAAAUACUAGUUUACUACGAGGUUGAUGAUCCCUGAUGUGGUAUUUUAUUUUCUUGAGGAUCAUAAAACAAACCACCUCUUGAUUCUUUUGGAUAACCUAUAAAAAAGCAUAAUUUUGAACGAUGUUCCAAUUUCUUUGGAUUUUGUACCAACACAUGUGCUGGACAACCCCAAAUUUUAAAAUGACGUAAACUGCCUUUACGCCCUUUCCAUAGCUCAUAAGGUGUUUCUGAAACACUUUUAGAGGGAACAUUAUUCAAAAUAUAAGCAGCUGUUUCUAAAGCAUAUCCCCAAAAAGAAUCUGACAUCUGAGAAAAACUCAUCAUAGAGCGAACCAUGUCUAACAAGGUCCAGUUUCUUCUUUCUGAUACACCGUUCUGUUGAGGUGUACUAGGUGCAGAGAGUUGUGACUGGAUUCCAUUUUCUAUUAAAUAGUCUCGGAAUCGUAAGUCCAUAUACUCUCCACCUCGAUCUGAUCGAAGUAUUUUUAUUGUUUUACCUAAUUCGUUUUCUACUUCAGCCUUAUAUUCUUUGAACUUUUCAAGACUAUUAGACUUAUGAUGUAUUAGGUAAAUAUGACCAUACCUUGAAUAAUCAUCAAUGAAGCUAAUGAAAUAUUCAUAUCCACCUCGAGUUUUGACAUUCAUUGGUCCACAAAGGUCCGAAUGUACGAGCUCUAAGGGUCCUUUGGCUCUUAGACCUUUUCCAGUAAAAGAUCUCUUGGUCAUUUUUCCUUCAAGACAAGAUUCACAAGGAGGUAAAGAGUUAUCUUCUAACGGACUUAGAAGCCCACUUUUAACCAAUCUCCCAAUCCUAUUGAGAUUUAUGUGACCAAGUCUUAAGUGCCAUAAAUAGGCAUUAGAAGAAACUUUUUGUCUUUUAUUCUGAGUUUCAGCUGUUCUGAAUAUUUCAGUAUUUAAGACAAAAUUUGCUCUAGUUGGUCUUAACUUAUAUAAGUUGUCUUCAAGUAUAGCAGAACAAACUAGAAUACCUUUAUAGAAAACGAACGCUUCAUUAAUUUCAAAAGAUAUUCUAUACAUUUGUUCCAAAAUACAAGAGAUAGAUAUUAAAUUUCUUUUCAUUUGAGGUACAUAUAAGACAUUCUUAAGUAUGACAUAUCUAUCUCUAAAAAACAACUUUAAAUCUCCCACUGCUGAAGCUGAGACCAUCUCUCCUGUUCCAACCUUGAGAGUGAUCUCGCCUUCUGAAAGCUUUUUCCAAGAACUAUUUUCCUGAAAUGAGAAGCAAAUAUGGUUAGUGGCUCCUGAAUCUAGUAUCCAGGUAGAAUUUUCAUAUUCCACUAAACAUGUUUCUACAACUAGUAAAUCAUAUUUACCUUGUGUUUCCUUCUCUGCCUUUUUUUCUGCAAGGUAUUUUGGGCAGUUUCUUAACCAGUGCCCGUUUUGGCCACAAUGGUAACACUUACCUUUUUCUGCAGCUUUCUUACCCUUGUUCUGUUUGGGAGUCUUUCCCUUUCCCUUCUUUUUUAUUUGAGCAUUAGGUUUUGAGGGUCCAGCUUUGGUUUUAGAGGACGAUCCUCUUAUAAAUUUUCUUUUUGUGGUAGCAACAUUUGCUUCCACUUGUUUUCCUUUACCCAUAGUUAGGUUUUGGAAUCGCUGGAGUUCAUUCAGAAGGGUUGUCAAGUUAAAUUCUAUCUUGUUCAAAGACGCAUUCGUUUGGAAUGGAAUGAAGCUCUUCGGAAGAGACUCUAAGAUAAAACUAACUUGAUUAACCUCUUCGAUGGGACCACCAUUCACUUCAGCGAUGUUGAAGUGCAUCAUCAUGUCCAGAACAUGUUCUCUAACAGAGGUCCCUUCCUUCAUACGCUUAGUGUAAAUGUAUUUGACUGCCUCGUGUCUUAAGGACCAUUCUGGUUGCCCAAACAUUCCCCUUAAUGAAUCCAUAAUCUCUUUAGCCGUGGCUAAGGAUUCAUGUUUCUUUGCCAAUACAUCAGACAUGCUGGCAAGAAUGUAAACACGGGCUUUUUCAUUAGCUUUUAUCCAUCGAUCAUAUGCAUCCCGACUAGUUCGGUUAGCAUUAGAGGCAGGGUUUUGAGGACAUUCCUCAGUUAAGACAAAUCUUAAAUCGUCAACCACUAGUAUUGUGUUAAGAUUUGAUUUCCAAGCCGCAUAAUUAUCGCCAUUAAGUUUUUCGGAAGCUAAAAGUUGAACUAUUGAGCUAUUCAUGCUGAAAAACAAACAUAUUCUUUUUAGGAAAAAACUAUAAUCAUAAAAAAUAUCCAAUCUAAUUUAGCAAUUACUAAUAAUGUACCCUUUCAUUAUUUGUAUUUUGCAACAAUAUUUCAAAGGUUUAGAACAACCUUCUCCGAAGGGUAGUUGAUUAUUCCUCCUUUGAACCAAGACAAUCUUGACUAGAUGCUAUCUCAAGAAUAACUCUUUAUUCUUUAUAGCACUUAGUUAUCGCUACUUUAGUCAAGAAUAUACUAACAACUUAGUAAUUCUUGUAAGUGUUACCCACCAUUUUCAGAUUUUAUAGAUUAGAAUCAUUUAUGAAAACUAAUCUAAGAAAUCCUAUCCAGUUUUGGAGUUCGCGGUGUUCCGAAUCCUAUAAUACAACCCUCCGAAGGGAACGUCGCUCCAGGGCAGACAAGCAGGCAUAUUAUAGAAAUCUCACGGUGCGACCUAAUGGAAGAGACCGUGGGAUGUGCUGUCACAAAUCCCUCACCCACUUACUAUGAACUACUUCCCCUAUUCACCUUGAUUUUGAUCCAUGCAAACACUCUCCGAAGGGAGGCCGCUCCUAUGCACGGCACAAAGCCCUGCAUGGACCUCACGGUGUGUGAACUCUUAGGGACACUAGAGCUAAAAUACAUUAUUUUUCUCUAGUUGAAGUGUUCUAGAAAAAAAUAGGGUAAUCCAAACUUCAAGAUUUAUAUUUAGGCUAACUUAAACAAAUCUUAAGUCUAGAUAAAACAUCCAAGUAUAACCAUUAUACAGGAUUUUAACCUAUGAUGUCUAGGUGAAAAACCAUUUUUAUUACCUCACACCUCUCACGAAUGCUCAUAAAACUAGGUUAACUAGGCUCAAGAACUGAUUACGAUCUCCAGGUAGGAGGUGUUCCGUAAACCGUCAACUUAAGAACCUCCAACCUUAGUCAUCUUAUCUGACUUGUUGACAAGAUUGAACCAGGUGAGCCUUUUGUAACCAGUUUUACAAGAUAUCGACCUAUUUCUAUGAAAAAUGGAAGAUAUGUUUAACCUAAGUGAGCAUGCAUUUAAUCUUUGUUAUUGAUUUUAAAAGUCUAAUUUAUUUUAUAACACUUAUAAAAAUUUUAAACUUAAUCAAUCAUUUUAUCAAUAUAUAAUAAAAACAAUCAAUUAAUAUGGAUUUUAAUUUAUUUAACUUUAAUUAAAUCAUAUUUAAUUAAAUUAAAUCAAACAAUAAUUAAUUAAUUUGAUUAAAUCAUAUUUAAUCAAGAAUAACUUAAUUAAUUAAAUAAUUAAUUAAUCAUAUUAAUUAAUUUCCAUAUUAAUCAAUUAACAUGCAUACAAUACAAUAUAACCUUUAUAUCAUACAUUUUAAUGCAUGAACAUGUUAACCUAUGGUGGGAUUUUAAAUCUAUAUGACAUUCAAAAUGCACAUACAAAUUUAAAGUAAUUUAAUCAUACAUCACAUGCAUAAAUAAAAAAAACACCCUAAAAUGGACUGAUUUUUGGCUCCUAAAUUAAGCUAAGUGCUAAAUUAUUACAUAAUUAAUUUGGUGUAGUACAGAACCACUCCCAAAAAUUUCGAACCGGCUAAAAAACCAACCGAACCGCUUGAACCGGCCCAAAAACCAAAUUUAUUGGCUUGAACCGGCCCAGGCGCACACGGGUCGUGCGAAGGCAGGCGCGCGGGCGAAGGCGGCGCGCGGGCGCAUGCGGGCGCGGCGCAGCGGCGCGCGGGCGCAUGCAGGCGCGCGGGCGCAGGAGGCGCGCGGGCGCAGGAGGGCGCGCGCGCGGCGGCGCAGGAGGGCGCGCGGCGCAGGAGGGCGGCGGGCGCGUGCGGACGCAGGAGGCGCGGGCGCAGGAGGGCGCGGGCAUGCGGGCGCGUGCGGGUCGCGAAGCGGGUCAAAACCGGGUUUUCGGGUCUGUGACCUUCUUUUCUUCAUUUUUUCAAUUCCUCUCACCCGGUUGAACUAAUUACAGCCUAGCUUCAACUCUAAUGACUUUUUUUUUUUUUAAAAAUUACAAACACUUUGCAACAAUAAAAAUAAGCCAUUAACAAGGCUAAUUACAAUAAUUAGAACAAAAAACACUUAAUCUAGAGCCAAAAUCAUAAAUAUCCAUUUUAGUUCAAACCAAAAUUUAUCUAAUAAAUAUGAACCACAUGCAAUUGGUAAAAAUGAAGCAUGCUCUGAUACCACAUGAUAGAACUAAGUCAUGCACAGCGGAAAAAGAAUCGAAUUUCUACCCUAAUUGCCACAAUUAACAUCUAACCAUAAACUAAUCAAAUUAGGGUUUUAAGAAGUAUUACCUUUGAAGCUUUCAAAAAGGUUUGAUGUCUUCUUACCAAUUCUACCCGAGACCACCACUAGUACUCAACUGCUAUCCUCUAGACAAAGAACCGGGUUGUGGACCCAAUUUUGGUGUAGAAAGUAAUGGAGAUAAAAUGAGAUUGGAAGCUUUCUUUUUUUCUUUUGUUGAGAUUAUGAAAAUGAUAAAAGAGGCAAAAGUCCUUCAACAUUUGAAAACAUCUCUAUUUAUAGCCUAAUUACAUGCAAAAAUGCAUGCAAUUCAAUUGCCAAAUCUCAACACCUAAUAUUCCACUAACAAUUAGUGGAACUUAGUGGCUAGGUGUCUAUAUCUCAUAUAGCCACAUAUCCCACUAAGAGUUAGUGGGAUUAUCCAACAAAGUUGGAUUUUCCCACUAACUUAGUCCAAGGGUAAAAUGGUCAUUAGAUUUUUCUAGUCAAAAGUCAAACUUUGACUUUUCUAAGUCAAAAGUCAAUAUUUUGACUUUUUACCAUUUUGUCCGUCUUGACUAAUUCCAACCUCCCGAGCAUGAAUCCGCAUUCAUUUUUCCAAAAUUCAAAUCACAUUUGAAUAUAAGGCCGGUCAAAGUUUGACUUUUCAAAGUCAAAAGUCAACAUUUUGACUUUUUACUAUUUUUGACCAAUUCCGAGCUUCUUAGUAUGAAUCCGCAUUCAUACUUAUAGUAUGUAAACAUAAAGCUCUAUUUCUAAUUAGAAGACCGACGAUUAUAUCACUGUAUAUGUCGGUUUUCCUUUCUUCUCCCUAUUCGAACAAUUCGACUUAUUUCAUCACACUGUUCUAAGUUUAAUCCAUAUGACUAGCAGAGGAACCUAAUGGACCUAUAGAUCAUGGCUCCAACGAUUCAAGAUUAACUAGCUAAACUCUUUUAAACCGAGUUAAUCAACAUUCGUUAACUAACGGGUCAUUCCACUAAAGUCCCGUAGUUGCACUCCCCUCACUAUAGAUAUAUUUGUGUCCAUUUGAUAAAACCAUAAUCAGUAAGUUAAUCCUUCACAGGUUGCUCGUAACCUUGGCUGGGUCAAAAUACCGUUUUACCCCCAAGAUUACAUCUUGCUCCUUAAGUCCCACUAAUCCACUAUUGAACAAUUGGUUUAAGGUUCAACCUAUAAACUUAAUCCCUCUCGGGCCAAUGAGAGGGUGGGGCCCCUUGUUCAAGACUUGGAUUCAGUGCUUAAGAGAGCAACCUAUCUACUAACCCUAAAGCGGGUAGGAGUGAAUUCCAUCUUGUACCCUGUUCCCAGCUAUCCACCCGAUCUUACCCCUGAAAUGGGAGGCUUUUGGGCCAACGCUGAUGAGCUGCCCUCACCUAUGCAGAUCUAAGGAUAAUCUCGUAUGAACAGGAGUUCAUAGUUAACUCAGGAUUAAGACUAAGUUACCUAGGUCAUCAAUAAUUGAGAUAGUCAGUUUUAAACAGUAAACGGUGUUAUAACGUAAAAAUGACUAAUUCAUGGUUCAGUCUUAUGUAAACAUUUUACAUAGGAUGCCCCCACUUUCAUGUCUCUACAUGAACGAUUAGGAUCACAUCGUUUGUACUACAAAGUGGGCCGCAUCCAUAGUUCUCAAAAUAAGGCGCCCAACCUUUAUUUCAUAUACUAUAGACUAUUUAGGCUAUAUACUCGAACUUGAUCCACGUUUAUGUUUACACAUAAAGUUCAAGUUUAUUCAAAAAAUAGCCUUGGAACUUUGAUUUAUUGGAUUUAAGAUUAUAAUAUUUAAUUUCUCAAUAACAACUUUAUUGAAUAGAAUAUGAUUUACAAACUACGAGUUUUAGGACAAAAAAUUCCAACACGAUAUCUGAGUGGAGUGUCUCAAAGUUUCUUGCCACAAAAGCCGAACGGUGACGCCCCAGACUCGGUUUCUUGGUUCCGUCCCAAAACGCCGAAGAAAGGCACAAUGGCCUAGAAAGGGACGGUCGGACUUGGAACGGGGUCCGAGGCCUCGAAAGUCCACAUCUAGCUACUGGGUGGUCCGAUUUUGAGUGAUCUCGAAGUUUCUUGCCCACAAAAGCCGAACGGUGACGCCCCAGACUCGGUUUCUUGGUUCCGUCCCAAAACGCCGAAGAAAGGCACAAUGGCCUAGAAAGGGACGGUCGGACUUGGAACGGGGUCCGAGGCCUCGAAAGUCCACAUCUAGCUACUGGGUGGUCCGAUUCUGAGUGAUCUCGAAGUUUCUUGCCCACAAAAGCCGAACGGUGACGCCCCAGACUCGGUUUCUUGGUUCCGUCCCAAAACGCCGAAGAAAGGCACAAUGGCCUAGAAAGGGACGGUCGGACUUGGAACGGGGUCCGAGGCCUCGAAAGUCCACAUCUAGCUACUGGGUGGUCCGAUUCUGAGUGAUCUCGAAGUUUCUUGCCCACAAAAGCCGAACGGUGACGCCCAGACUCGGUUUCUUGGUUCCGUCCCAAAACGCCGAAGAAAGGCACAAUGGCCUAGAAAGGGACGGUCGGACUUGGAACGGGGUCCGAGGCCUCGAAAGUCCACAUCUAGCUACUGGGUGGUCCGAUUCUGUGAUCUCGAAGUUUCUUGCCCACAAAAGCCGAACGGUGACGCCCCAGACUCGGUUUCUUGGUUCCGUCCCAAAACGCCGAAGAAAGGCACAAUGGCCUAGAAAGGGACGGUCGGACUUGGAACGGGGUCCGAGGCCUCGAAAGUCCACAUCUAGCUACUGGGUGGUCCGAUUCUGAGUGAUCUCGAAGUUUCUUGCCCACAAAAGCCGAACGGUGACGCCCCAGACUCGGUUUCUUGGUUCCGUCCCAAAACGCCGAAGAAAGGCACAAUGGCCUAGAAAGGGACGGUCGGACUUGGAACGGGGUCCGAGGCCUCGAAAGUCCACAUCUAGCUACUGGGUGGUCCGAUUCUGAGUGAUCUCGAAGUUUCUUGCCCACAAAAGCCGAACGGUGACGCCCCAGACUCGGUUUCUUGGUUCCGUCCCAAAACGCCGAAGAAAGGCACAAUGGCCUAGAAAGGGACGGUCGGACUUGGAACGGGGUCCGAGGCCUCGAAAGUCCACAUCUAGCUACUGGGUGGUCCGAUUCUGAGUGAUCUCGAAGUUUCUUGCCCACAAAAGCCGAACGGUGACGCCCCAGACUCGGUUUCUUGGUUCCGUCCCAAAACGCCGAAGAAAGGCACAAUGGCCUAGAAAGGGACGGUCGGACUUGGAACGGGGUCCGAGGCCUCGAAAGUCCACAUCUAGCUACUGGGUGGUCCGAUUCUGAGUGAUCUCGAAGUUUCUUGCCCACAAAAGCCGAACGGUGACCCCAGACUCGGUUUCUUGGUUCCGUCCCAAAACGCCGAAGAAAGGCACAAUGGCCUAGAAAGGGACGGUCGGACUUGGAACGGGGUCCGGCCUCGAAAGUCCACAUCUAGCUACUGGGUGGUCCGAUUCUGAGUGAUCUCGAAGUUUCUUGCCCACAAAAGCCGAACGGUGACGCCCCAGACUCGGUUUCUUGGUUCCGUCCCAAAACGCCGAAGAAAGGCACAAUGGCCUAGAAAGGGACGGUCGGACUUGGAACGGGGUCCGAGGCCUCGAAAGUCCACAUCUAGCUACUGGGUGGUCCGAUUCUGAGUGAUCUCGAAGUUUCUUGCCCACAAAAGCCGAACGGUGACGCCCCAGACUCGGUUUCUUGGUUCCGUCCCAAAACGCCGAAGAAAGGCACAAUGGCCUAGAAAGGGACGGUCGGACUUGGAACGGGGUCCGAGGCCUCGAAAGUCCACAUCUAGCUACUGGGUGGUCCGAUUCUGAGUGAUCUCGAAGUUUCUUGCCCACAAAAGCCGAACGGUGACGCCCCAGACUCGGUUUCUUGGUUCCGUCCCAAAACGCCGAAGAAAGGCACAAUGGCCUAGAAAGGGACGGUCGGACUUGGAACGGGGUCCGAGGCCUCGAAAGUCCACAUCUAGCUACUGGGUGGUCCGAUUCUGAGUGAUCUCGAAGUUUCUUGCCCACAAAAGCCGAACGGUGACGCCCCAGACUCGGUUUCUUGGUUCCGUCCCAAAACGCCGAAGAAAGGCACAAUGGCCUAGAAAGGGACGGUCGGACUUGGAACGGGGUCCGAGGCCUCGAAAGUCCACAUCUAGCUACUGGGUGGUCCGAUUCUGAGUGAUCUCGAAGUUUCUUGCCCACAAAAGCCGAACGGUGACGCCCCAGACUCGGUUUCUUGGUUCCGUCCCAAAACGCCGAAGAAAGGCACAAUGGCCUAGAAAGGGACGGUCGGACUUGGAACGGGGUCCGAGGCCUCGAAAGUCCACAUCUAGCUACUGGGUGGUCCGAUUCUGAGUGAUCUCGAAGUUUCUUGCCCACAAAAGCCGAACGGUGACGCCCAGACUCGGUUUCUUGGUUCCGUCCCAAAACGCCGAAGAAAGGCACAAUGGCCUAGAAAGGGACGGUCGGACUUGGAACGGGGUCCGAGGCCUCGAAAGUCCACAUCUAGCUACUGGGUGGUCCGAUUCUGAGUGAUCUCGAAGUUUCUUGCCCACAAAAGCCGAACGGUGACGCCCCAGACUCGGUUUCUUGGUUCCGUCCCAAAACGCCGAAGAAAGGCACAAUGGCCUAGAAAGGGACGGUCGGACUUGGAACGGGGUCCGAGGCCUCGAAAGUCCACAUCUAGCUACUGGGUGGUCCGAUUCUGAGUGAUCUCGAAGUUUCUUGCCCACAAAAGCCGAACGGUGACGCCCCAGACUCGGUUUCUUGGUUCCGUCCCAAAACGCCGAAGAAAGGCACAAUGGCCUAGAAAGGGACGGUCGGACUUGGAACGGGGUCCGAGGCCUCGAAAGUCCACAUCUAGCUACUGGGUGGUCCGAUUCUGAGUGAUCUCGAAGUUUCUUGCCCACAAAAGCCGAACGGUGACGCCCCAGACUCGGUUUCUUGGUUCCGUCCCAAAACGCCGAAGAAAGGCACAAUGGCCUAGAAAGGGACGGUCGGACUUGGAACGGGGUCCGAGGCCUCGAAAGUCCACAUCUAGCUACUGGUGGUCCGAUUCUGAGUGAUCUCGAAGUUUCUUGCCCACAAAAGCCGAACGGUGACGCCCCAGACUCGGUUUCUUGGUUCCGUCCCAAAACGCCGAAGAAAGGCACAAUGGCCUAGAAAGGGACGGUCGGACUUGGAACGGGGUCCGAGGCCUCGAAAGUCCACAUCUAGCUACUGGGUGGUCCGAUUCUGAGUGAUCUCGAAGUUUCUUGCCCACAAAAGCCGAACGGUGACGCCCCAGACUCGGUUUCUUGGUUCCGUCCCAAAACGCCGAAGAAAGGCACAAUGGCCUAGAAAGGGACGGUCGGACUUGGAACGGGGUCCGAGGCCUCGAAAGUCCACAUCUAGCUACUGGGUGGUCCGAUUCUGAGUGAUCUCGAAGUUUCUUGCCCACAAAAGCCGAACGGUGACCCCCAGACUCGGUUUCUUGGUUCCGUCCCAAAACGCCGAAGAAAGGCACAAUGGCCUAGAAAGGGACGGUCGGACUUGGAACGGGGUCCGGCCUCGAAAGUCCACAUCUAGCUACUGGGUGGUCCGAUUCUGUGAUCUCGAAGUUUCUUGCCCACAAAAGCCGAACGGUGACGCCCCAGACUCGGUUUCUUGGUUCCGUCCCAAAACGCCGAAGAAAGGCACAAUGGCCUAGAAAGGGACGGUCGGACUUGGAACGGGGUCCGAGGCCUCGAAAGUCCACAUCUAGCUACUGGGUGGUCCGAUUCUGAGUGAUCUCGAAGUUUCUUGCCCACAAAAGCCGAACGGUGACGCCCCAGACUCGGUUUCUUGGUUCCGUCCCAAAACGCCGAAGAAAGGCACAAUGGCCUAGAAAGGGACGGUCGGACUUGGAACGGGGUCCGAGGCCUCGAAAGUCCACAUCUAGCUACUGGGUGGUCCGAUUCUGUGAUCUCGAAGUUUCUUGCCCACAAAAGCCGAACGGUGACGCCCCAGACUCGGUUUCUUGGUUCCGUCCCAAAACGCCGAAGAAAGGCACAAUGGCCUAGAAAGGGACGGUCGGACUUGGAACGGGGUCCGAGGCCUCGAAAGUCCACAUCUAGCUACUGGGUGGUCCGAUUCUGAGUGAUCUCGAAGUUUCUUGCCCACAAAAGCCGAACGGUGACGCCCCAGACUCGGUUUCUUGGUUCCGUCCCAAAACGCCGAAGAAAGGCACAAUGGCCUAGAAAGGGACGGUCGGACUUGGAACGGGGUCCGAGGCCUCGAAAGUCCACAUCUAGCUACUGGGUGGUCCGAUUCUGAGUGAUCUCGAAGUUUCUUGCCCACAAAAGCCGAACGGUGACGCCCCAGACUCGGUUUCUUGGUUCCGUCCCAAAACGCCGAAGAAAGGCACAAUGGCCUAGAAAGGGACGGUCGGACUUGGAACGGGGUCCGAGGCCUCGAAAGUCCACAUCUAGCUACUGGGUGGUCCGAUUCUGUGAUCUCGAAGUUUCUUGCCCACAAAAGCCGAACGGUGACGCCCCAGACUCGGUUUCUUGGUUCCGUCCCAAAACGCCGAAGAAAGGCACAAUGGCCUAGAAAGGGACGGUCGGACUUGGAACGGGGUCCGAGGCCUCGAAAGUCCACAUCUAGCUACUGGGUGGUCCGAUUCUGAGUGAUCUCGAAGUUUCUUGCCCACAAAAGCCGAACGGUGACGCCCCAGACUCGGUUUCUUGGUUCCGUCCCAAAACGCCGAAGAAAGGCACAAUGGCCUAGAAAGGGACGGUCGGACUUGGAACGGGGUCCGAGGCCUCGAAAGUCCACAUCUAGCUACUGGGUGGUCCGAUUCUGAGUGAUCUCGAAGUUUCUUGCCCACAAAAGCCGAACGGUGACGCCCCAGACUCGGUUUCUUGGUUCCGUCCCAAAACGCCGAAGAAAGGCACAAUGGCCUAGAAAGGGACGGUCGGACUUGGAACGGGGUCCGAGGCCUCGAAAGUCCACAUCUAGCUACUGGGUGGUCCGAUUCUGAGUGAUCUCGAAGUUUCUUGCCCACAAAAGCCGAACGGUGACGCCCCAGACUCGGUUUCUUGGUUCCGUCCCAAAACGCCGAAGAAAGGCACAAUGGCCUAGAAAGGGACGGUCGGACUUGGAACGGGGUCCGAGGCCUCGAAAGUCCACAUCUAGCUACUGGGUGGUCCGAUUCUGUGAUCUCGAAGUUUCUUGCCCACAAAAGCCGAACGGUGACGCCCCAGACUCGGUUUCUUGGUUCCGUCCCAAAACGCCGAAGAAAGGCACAAUGGCCUAGAAAGGGACGGUCGGACUUGGAACGGGGUCCGAGGCCUCGAAAGUCCACAUCUAGCUACUGGGUGGUCCGAUUCUGAGUGAUCUCGAAGUUUCUUGCCCACAAAAGCCGAACGGUGACGCCCCAGACUCGGUUUCUUGGUUCCGUCCCAAAACGCCGAAGAAAGGCACAAUGGCCUAGAAAGGGACGGUCGGACUUGGAACGGGGUCCGAGGCCUCGAAAGUCCACAUCUAGCUACUGGGUGGUCCGAUUCUGAGUGAUCUCGAAGUUUCUUGCCCACAAAAGCCGAACGGUGACGCCCCAGACUCGGUUUCUUGGUUCCGUCCCAAAACGCCGAAGAAAGGCACAAUGGCCUAGAAAGGGACGGUCGGACUUGGAACGGGGUCCGAGGCCUCGAAAGUCCACAUCUAGCUACUGGGUGGUCCGAUUCUUGUGAUCUCGAAGUUUCUUGCCCACAAAAGCCGAACGGUGACGCCCCAGACUCGGUUUCUUGGUUCCGUCCCAAAACGCCGAAGAAAGGCACAAUGGCCUAGAAAGGGACGGUCGGACUUGGAACGGGGUCCGAGGCCUCGAAAGUCCACAUCUAGCUACUGGGUGGUCCGAUUCUGAGUGAUCUCGAAGUUUCUUGCCCACAAAAGCCGAACGGUGACGCCCCAGACUCGGUUUCUUGGUUCCGUCCCAAAACGCCGAAGAAAGGCACAAUGGCCUAGAAAGGGACGGUCGGACUUGGAACGGGGUCCGAGGCCUCGAAAGUCCACAUCUAGCUACUGGGUGGUCCGAUUCUGAGUGAUCUCGAAGUUUCUUGCCCACAAAAGCCGAACGGUGACGCCCCAGACUCGGUUUCUUGGUUCCGUCCCAAAACGCCGAAGAAAGGCACAAUGGCCUAGAAAGGGACGGUCGGACUUGGAACGGGGUCCGAGGCCUCGAAAGUCCACAUCUAGCUACUGGGUGGUCCGAUUCUGAGUGAUCUCGAAGUUUCUUGCCCACAAAAGCCGAACGGUGACGCCCAGACUCGGUUUCUUGGUUCCGUCCCAAAACGCCGAAGAAAGGCACAAUGGCCUAGAAAGGGACGGUCGGACUUGGAACGGGGUCCGAGGCCUCGAAAGUCCACAUCUAGCUACUGGGUGGUCCGAUUCUGAGUGAUCUCGAAGUUUCUUGCCCACAAAAGCCGAACGGUGACGCCCAGACUCGGUUUCUUGGUUUGUCCCAAAACGCCGAAGAAAGGCACAAUGGCCUAGAAAGGGACGGUCGGACUUGGAACGGGGUCCGAGGCCUCGAAAGUCCACAUCUAGCUACUGGGUGGUCCGAUUCUGAGUGAUCUCGAAGUUUCUUGCCCACAAAAAGCCAAACGGUGACGCCCUAGACUCGGUUUGUUGGUUCCGUCCCAAAACGUCGAAGAAAGCACAAUGGCCUAGAAAGGGACAGUCGGACUUUGGAACGGUGUCCGAGGCGUCGAAAGUCCACAUCUAGCUACUCGGUGGUCCGAUUCUGAGUGAUCUCGAAGUUUCUUGCCCACAAAAGGCGAACGGUGACGCCCCAGACUCGGUUUCUUGGUUCCAUCCGAAAACGCCGGAAGAAAGGCACAAUGGCCUAGAAAGGGACGGUCGGACUUGGAACGCGGUGCGAGGCCUCAAAAGUCCACAUCUAGCUACUGGGUGGUCCGAUUCUGAGUGAUCUCGAACUUUCUUGCCCACAAAAGGCGAACGGUGACGCCCAGACUCGGUUUCUUGGUUCCGUCCCAAAACGUCGAAGAAAGGCACAAUGGCCUAGAAAGGGACGGUCGGACUUGGAACGGUGUCCGAGGCCUCGAAAGUCCACAUCUAGCUACUGGGUGGUUCGAUUCUGAGUGAUCUCGAAGUUUCUUGCCCACAAAAGGCGAACGGUGACGCCCAGACUCGGUUUCUUGGUUCCGUCCGAAAACGCCGAAGAAAGGCACAAUGGCCUAGAAAGGGACGGUCGGACUUGGAACGCGGUCCGAGGCCUCGAAAGUCCACAUCUAGCUACUGGGUGGUCCGAUUCUGAGUGAUCUCGAACUUUCUUGCCCACAAAAGCCGAACGGUGUCGCCCCAGACUCGGUUUCUUGGUUCCGUCCCAAAACGCCGAAGAAAGGCACAAUGGCCUAGAAAGGGACGGUCGGACUUGGAACGGGGUCCGAGGCCUCGAAAGUCCACAUCUAGCUACUGGGUGGUCCGAUUCUGAGUGAUCUCGAAGUUUCUUGCCCACAAAAGCGAACGGUGACGCCCAGACUCGGUUUCUUGGUUCCGUCCCAAAACGCCGAAGAAAGGCCCAAUGGCCUAGAAAGGGACGGUCGGACUUGGAACGGGGUCCGAGGCCUCGAAAGUCCACAUCUAGCUACUGGGUUGUCCGAUUCUGAGUGAUCUCGAAGUUUCUUGCCCACAAAAGCCGAACGGUGACGCCCCAGACUCGGUUUCUUGGUUUUGUCCCAUAACGGCGAAGAAAGGCACAAUGGCCUAGAAAGGGACGGUCGGACUUGGAACGGGGUCCGAGGCCUCGAAAGUCCACAUCUAGCUACUGGGUGGUCCGAUUCUGAGUGAUCUCGAAGUUUCUUGCCCACAAAAGCCAAACGGUGACGCCCUAGACUCGGUUUGUUGGUUCCGUCCCAAAACGUCGAAGAAAGGCACAAUGGCCUAGAAAGGGACAGUCGGACUUGGAACGGUGUCCGAGGCCUCGAAAGUCCACAUCUAGCUACUCGGUGGUCCGAUUCUGAGUGAUCUCGAAGUUUCUUGCCCACAAAAGGCGAACGGUGACGCCUCAGACUCGGUUUCUUGGUUCCGUCCGAAAACGCCGAAGAAAGGCACAAUGGCCUAGAAAGGGACGGUCGGACUUGGAACGCGGUGCGAGGCCUCAAAAGUCCACAUCUAGCUACUGGGUGGUCCGAUUCUGAGUGAUCUCGAACUUUCUUGCCCACAAAAGCCGAACGGUGACGCCCCAGACUCAGUUUCUUGGUUCCGUCCCAAAACGCCGAAGAAAGGCACAAUGGCCUAGAAAGGGACGGUCGGACUUGGAACGGGGUCCGAGGCCUCGAAAGUCCACAUCUAGCUACUCGGUGGUCCGAUUCUGAGUGAUCUCGAAGGUUCUUGCCCACAAAAGGCGAACGGUGACGCCCAGACUCGGUUUCUUGGUUCCGUCCCAAAACGCCGAAGAAAGGCACAAUAGGGUAAUCCAAGCUUCAAGAUUUAUAUUUAGGCUAACUUAAACAAAUCUUAAGUCUAGAUAAAACAUCCAAGUAUAACCAUUAUACAGGAUUUUAACCUAUGAUGUCUAGGUGAAAAACCAUUUUUAUUACCUCACACUCUCACGAAUGCUCAUAAAACUAGGUUAACUAGGCUCAAGAACUGAUUACGAUCUUCAGUAGGAGGUGUUCCGUAAACCGUCAACUUAAGAACCUCCAACCUUAGUCAUCUUAUCUGACUUGUUGACAAGAUUGAACCAGGUGAGCCUUUUGUAACCAGUUUUACAAGAUAUCGACCUAUUUCUAUGAAAAAUGGAAGAUAUGUUUAACCUAAGUGAGCAUGCAUUUAAUCUUUGUUAUUGAUUUUAAAAAGUCUAAUUUAUUUUAUAACACUUAUAAAAACUUCUAUACUUAAUCAAUCAUUUUAUCAAUAUAUACUCUUAUAAAAACAAUCAAUUAAUAUGGAUUUUAAUUUAUUUAACUUUAAUUAAAUCAUAUUUAAUUAAAUUAAAUCAAACAAUAAUUAAUUAAUUUGAUUAAAUCAUAUUUAAUCAAGAAUAACUUAAUUAAUUAAUAAUUAAUUAAUCAUAUUAAUUAAUUUCCAUAUUAAUCAAUUAACAUGCAUACAAUACAAUAUAACCUUUAUAUCAUACAUUUUAAUGCAUGAACAUGUUAACCUAUGGUGGGAUUUUAAAUCUAUAUGACAUUCAAAAUGCACAUACAAAUUUAAAUAACUUAAUCAUACAUCACAUGCAUAAAUAAAAAAAACACCCUAAAAUUGACUGAUUUUUGGCUCCUAAAUUAAGCUAAGUGCUAAAUUAUUACAUAAUUAAUUUGGUGUAGUACAGAACCACUCCCAAAAACUUCGAACCGGCUAAAAAACCAACCGAAACCGCUUGAACCGGCCCAAAAACCAAAUUUAUUGGCUUGAACCGGCCCAGGCGCACACGGGUCGUGCGAAGGCAGGCGCGCGGGCGAAGGCGGGCGCGGGCGCAUGCGGGCGGCGGGCGGAUGCGGGCGCGCAGGCGCAUGCGGCGCGCGGCGCAGCGGCGCGCAGGCGCAUGCGGCGCGGCAGGCGGCGCGGGCGCAUGCGGCGCGCAGGCGGCAGGCGGGCGCGGGGCGCAGGAGGGCGCGCGGCAUGCGGGUCGCGAAGCGGGUCAAGGCCGGGUUUUCGGGUCUGUGACCUUCUUUUCUUCAUUUUUUUCAAUUCUCUCACCCGGUUGAACCAAUUACAGCCUAGCUUCAACUCUAAUGACUUUUUUAUUUUUUAAAAAUUACAAACACUUUGCAACAAUAAAAAUAAGCCAUUAACAAGGCUAAUUACAAUAAUUAGAACAAAAACACUUAAUCUAGAGCCAAAAUCAUAAUAUAUCCAUUUUAGUUCAAACCAAAAUUUUCUAAUAAAUUUGAACCCACAAUGCAAUUGGGUAAAAAUGAAGCUCUGAUCCACCAUGAUAGAACUAAGUCUGCACAGCGGAAAAAGAAUCGAAUUUCUACCCUAAUUGCCACAAAUUAACAUCUUAACCAUAAAACUAAUCAAUUAGGGUUUUAAGAAGUAUUACCUUUGAAGCUUUCAAAAGGUUUGAUGUCUUCUUACAAUUCUACGAGAACCACUAGUACUCAACUGCUAUCCUCUAGACAAAGAACCGGGUUGUGGGACCCAAUUUUGGUGUAGAAAGUAAUGGAGAUAAAAUGAGAUUGGAAGCUUUCUUUUUUCUUUUGUUGAGAUUAUGAAAAGAUAAAAGAGGCAAAAAGUCCUUCAACAUUUGAAAACAUCUCUAUUUAUAGCCUAAUUACAUGCAAAAAUGCAUACAAUUCAAUUGCCAAAUCUCAACACCUAAUAUUCCACUAACAAUUAGUGGAACUUAGUGGGCUAGGUGUCUAUAUCUCAUAUAGCCACAUAUCCCACUAAGAGUUAGUGGGAUUAUCCAACAAAAUGUUGGAUUUUCCCACUAACUUAGUCCAAGGGUAAAAUGGUCAUUUGAUUUUUCUAGUCAAAAGUCAAACUUUGACUUUUCUAAGUCAAAAGUCAAUAUUUUGACUUUUUACCAUUUUGUCCGUCUUGACUAAUUCCAACCUCCCGAGCAUGAAUCCGCAUUCAUUUUUCCAAAAUUCAAAUCACAU
rnacentral:lncRNA from 1 species